CGAAAGAGACUCAUUGGGCCUGC
rnacentral:miRNA from 1 species